rnacentral:misc_RNA from 1 species
AACGCACCUUGCGCUCCUUGGCAUUCCGAGGAGCAUGCCUGUUCGAGUGUCAUGUUAAUCCUCAACCCUCGGGUUGGACUUGGACGUUGCGGUGCCCCGCCUCCGCUCGUCUCAAACUCAUUAGGGCUAUUUGAUCCGCCCGUCGGCGUUUAGUAAUGCUUGCGCCGCGCCAAGGUUCGAUGCCCUCUGUGCCACCUCUCGGAGGUGCCCUUGAAUUUCUGGCCUCGAAUCAGGUAGGACUACCCGCCGAACUUAA